UUACAUCCUAAAAUAAAUAGCACAGAAGUGAAAAAAAUUCUGCAUUGCAUACAAACCCUAUCAACACAGUUGUCAUGGACGCUACGUUAUGUUUAGAUAAGGAUACCCGUUGGUUAUAUGUGUAUAUAGUCACUUUAUACAUAAAUGUAUGUGCAUGUGUGCUUAGAAAUCAUCUGCUGUUACUCUGCAAUUAUAAAAUACAACCUGUUAAGCCAAGAUACUUCAACGAAUGUUUGUUAAGACAUAGGCAGCUAGCUCUUCUCCAGGUUUAUAUAUUAUACUGUAUAACUCAAGUUGUCGUGGCAUGCUGCUCCAGCCCAACCCGACCUAACUCUUUGCUAUGUUUGAAGUCAGUGGGUGUUUAUGGUGUGAUGUUGAGAGCAGUUUAUCAAAACCACUCAACAUACCUUGUAUUUGGGAUUAGGAUAUAUGAGAAUAUAGUUUUAGUGCAGUUAAAAUUAAAUGUUGCCCAAGAUCUAGGGAAUGAAAAUGCUGACUGGCUCAAAUGACUUUACAGCUGUCACAAAUACUCAAAUGGGAUUCUGUUUUGAGUCCAAAAUUUGAUCCACCUUACAUUAGUAAUGAGGGGUAGAUAAAGAUUUGUGUCUGUAGGUCUCUGAUUACUUGUUAAUCAUCUGUGGCAUAAGUUAAAUUUGCACCUAAAUUUUAUUUAUUUAUUUAUUUUUAAUGGUAUUCCUAAUCUUUUGUUGUGAUAGCUUUACUUUCCCACCAGCACUUGUGAUUGAUGUCAUUGAAACCAAAAGCGGGACAGGGGGAAGAAAGCAGCUGCUCACAGGAAGUAGUCUACGUUACCUAUCAGCUGUUUUCACCUUUGUGUGCAAAAUAUUUUGCAGUGUUUGCAUGGAAAGCAGAUCUCAGAGUCGGAGGAAAUGUGACACGUGAAUUAACCAACCUGGCUCGCUAGAAGGCUUAAAUAAUCGGAGGCUGCUCUUAUCAACAAUAUUAAGUGCAGAGGUAUUCCUGAGAACAGGCUAAGGGGAGGAAUUACUCAGCUGAGAAAGCAGAGCCAAGAUUUUCCAUGAAAAGGCUGCAGGAGGAGUACUGUCAUGCCAAAUCCAAAACGUUGGGUUGGGAGAGAAAAUUGUUCUGAUGAAGAAAAACUGGAAAUUGGGGAUGGGGGGGUUAUCUCUUCCACAGAUUCAUGGUCUUUAGAGAAAUUUUUGAGAACACCAUCUUAGACAUCAAAGAGCUGUUGAAGUUGUCAAAUUUUAGACAAGGCAAUCUGAGACUUUAGGAUGCAAUCCCAUACUCCUCGUCCUUCAGCAAAGCCAAUGGAGUGUUUUAUCUUCUGCAUAAAUCAUAUGGGAUCGUCUUUGUGCAUAAACCCUAAAAAUGGUAUCCGCUAAUCUGCGAGUGCAAUUAACUGUCAAGGCAAUCUGAGAUUUCGUCUGUAACAGGGUUUAAUUCAAUGCUUGCCAAACCUGGAGGGCAGAUUCUCUGGCUACAGUGGAAUGAGAGGACACACAGCACAGCACGCCUGUGGGUCCGGAGCCAAACAGCAGCCAGGUCCCUACUGAAAAGGUCCUUUCUCAUGGAGAGCAGUAAUAAAUGUUUUGCUGAAUAACAGUGAAAUUGGACAUGCCACAGAGGAAGAACAUCAUAAUUGCUGUGACCAUCUCCACCUCUGACUGGAUUAGGAUAUUAGAGGACUGUGAUUCAUCCCAGGAUAUAUUUGCCUGGUCUUUGUAUUGAGGCAUUCAUUUGCUCCCGCUGCUUAUUCUUCACCUGAAGUCACAAUCUUCUGAGACAUCAAACUAGCUGCUGCAGAGGCCUUGAGUGCAACGUUGUCUCUCAGCUUCAACCUGCCAAAGAACAAGGGUGUGAACUGAGCGUGGCCUGGUCACAGGCUGGUGCAGGGUGCUGGCGAAAGGAGCUUGGCAAGAAGCUCAGCCUGGCGUUGUGAGACAGCAGCACUGACAGCUGAAGCUCUGAGGAGAAGGGGAAUGAGAAAAUUGUGUUCUGGCAGAAGGCAACCCACUGUUUUGAUUGAAGGGCAACUUGUAACGCACUACGACAUCUACGAUAGAACGGCCUGCUAUCAAGAGCCAGGGUGCUGAGAUACGGUCGAUGAACUAACUGGACACUGUCUCAGCUGCUCAUAUCAUGAGGAAUGGCUGGUGAGAACAUGUACUCAUGUAUCCAUGCUGGUAAUUGAAGAAAUGAAGGACUGGAUUGGCAUAAACAGCAACUGUUCUGAGAUUCCCUGGCAAGAUCUCUAAGCACCACCAUUAAUAUGACCAUUACAGAAGGGCAGAAUGGGAAAAUUUUCAUUCCCCAUGCAAGAUAUAUGGAGAUGUUAUCUCAUUUUGGUAGCUUUCAGAAUAUGUGAUUCAGUAUUAUUCUAGUGGCCUAGCACUGAGGAGCACCCAGACAGUAACACUGUGCAUCUGCACCUCAAACUUGAUGGAGAAGAAAAUCUGUCAGUGACGCUAUAUAGAAGUAACAGAGGAAAGAGACGGUAAUCAAAAGCAGUCAUUUAACCUGGAAGGGAAAUGAAGCUGAAGGACAUAGUGAAGAAUUAUUUAAAAAGGUAGAAGAACGACAGAAGGACAAAGUAAGAUGGGAGAGACUGACACAUGCCUACGCUGGGAGGAGAAGGAGUCACACAAGCUGGAGAGAUGAAAGAGAAGAGAAAGGGCAUGAAGAGGUGAAAAGAAGGAGGUGAAAUGUGACAGAACCACUGAGGCAGUACAGGAACUGUUCUGUCUUCUAUACCUAGUGAAGAUCAGAAAAAGUAACGCCAAACAUAGGAAGAGUAUGAGUGCUUACUAAACUCAACAGCGUAUGGAAGUCACAGCUAUAAACUACGGAAUAAAAUCAAGAAUUUCUAACUCAAAUGUAACCUCUGUGUUAACAUAUGGUUGUGAGAACUGGAAAUCUACCAGAACAUUAAAGAUAGGAAACUCGAUGCCUUUGAAAGCAGGUGCCUACAGAAGAUUCUGGGCAUUGGAUGGAAAGUUUCAUCACCAACGAAGGAAUGUGAGAGAUCAGCAAAUAGCAGUCUCGACUGAAAUGUAACAUUUUCUCAUGCACUCCAGAUGCUAACACAUCCUUCUCUGUGAUGCUGUCAAAUUGAAACCAACUAGUUUGAGAAAACCCACUGGCGACUUUCAAGAGAAAACCUGAACAGAAGCUGUAGGUAGGAGGGCUUAGCGGAUAAUCUCAACACCGUAACGCAGAAAGUAAGUGCAGGAAGUAAUGGAGAAGUCUGCCAGCAGUUGUUCAGGAAGUUUGUAACAUAGCGUUAUCCUCCAUGAUGCAACACGGGAGUAUGGUGGACAGACCCUCAGCUUAUCCACUGAGAUGAAUGGAGCUGUGCUGAUUUACAGUAGCUGGGGAUCUAGACUCGUGUCUUCAAGCUGGCCUUAUGUGGGCAAAUCCCAAUUAUGCUAGUUGACUUUGGUGGGAAUGCUGAAAGAAGUCCAAAAAAUAAGUCAUGAGAGCAGAAGAGAAAAGAUUUUAGAAGGAAAAGCUGAGCCCUAGACUGAGACAGAAAAGAGUCAUCUUGCAAGGAAGAAUUGAGAGAAGAAAUCCGCACUCAGUUGGAAAAGUAAUUGUGCGACUUCAUGAUACUUGAAAAAGACCUGGACUACGGCUGUUCCAAAUAUCCAGGGUGUUCUCCUAAACAUCUGCUACUGGUCACUGUCAGAAACAGGACAAGCUGGGUGCAAUGACUUUUGGUAGGACUCAUUGGCUAUAGGUGGGCUGAAUGGCAUUUGCAGUGGCACGUUGUGGACCAGUGCCCAGGCUUACCAUGGAAAGAAGGUGGCCACACACAUCUCGCCAGAUGGGACUUUACUGGGCCAGCCAUUUGGACUUGGCCACUUGGAGAAGACUUGGGGUCCUGCAGUUUCGUCACAGCCAGUAAGGUGUCUGAUCUUCACUGAUCUACACUAACAAAACCCUGGAGACCUGGAGGGGAUAAACAGAAAAUACUAAUUAGGACUUCUGAUAGACAAAAGGUCUUUUAAAUUGCUCUUUGGGUCCUUAGCGAGCAAGAAACAUAACAUCCUCUACAAUCAAAAUUCAGUCCAGAGUGGUGGAGAAAUGCUCCAUUAUAGAACAGGUAAUGAAGCAGAAUCACCAAAGCCAGGGAGCACUGCCGUCUCUGAACAACUGCACUGAACAGAUGAAAAACGGGAAAAAAACAGUCCAGGAUUUGAAAACACGCGGUGAAGUGCGCCACUGAGUAUGAUGGGUGUUCUGCCCCUUCCUCCUCCCGCCUCCCACAGGUCUGACCUGCGACAAGAUAACACGUGACGGCUCACGCGAAGUGUGCUUGGGACGGGGGACGAAGCUCAGGCUGCAGGUGCUCUUCCUUCCAGCACUGCCGGUCUCCACACCAAUCCCUGCUGAAGGACGAGACAGCGGCCACCUUGCCCGUACUUUAUGUUCUCGAUGUUUCUGUAGUCUUCAGAUUCAGAUGCGAGUUAUGCUCAGCACUUUAAUAAAACAGACCACAACACAUCAAGGACAAGCACUCAGAAGACAGAUAGGGGCCUGAUUCUGCAACUACUUAUAUCGGGUAACCCAAGCAGUUUUGGGCUCAAGAAUAAAAAUCCUCAAACACUGAUAAGAGAGGAUGAGAGGACUUCCUUGUAUGUAUAAAAUUAUUCUUGUCUUGCAUUUACUCAAGAAUAUAUGCAUUUUUUGGUACUGCUUGAACUCCUACAUAUGAGAAGAGAGACAGUGUGAUUGUAAAAUGUCAUGAAGACUAAGUCUUACCAUUGGGAAAGGGCAUGCUGUUGAGUGUGAUGGAAAAUUAUCUUGAUUUGUUAAGUCCUUGAUAUUCCAGAAGGAUCUGAGCACAACUUUGAAGACUAGAAAAUGUGGACUUCCUUUAACCAAAGGAAAUUCAUGAGAGGUGAAGACUGGCAGAAGUGGUAUGUCAGUUAUCCUGCUAGAAAAAUAAUCUCUAGCAAAAUUUAAAUACUGGAGAAAGGUUAUACAUGAUUUCUAUAUUGAAAAAGAAAAGGAUUAAAAUGUGGCUUCUGGAUAAAAAAGGACAGAAGUUGUGAGCUGACAGUGUAUGUGAUACAAAUGGAACAUUAGAAAUGUACCACAGAGGUGAUUUUGUAAACUGCUUACUAACAGAACUGCAAAAGUCUGUCAACUCUCAACAUUACUAUUAAAAGGACUGGUUAGGAACUUCCCAGCAUAUCAGCUGUAAGAUGGUGUUACACCUAUAAUGAAAUAACUAUUGAAAUACCCAGAAGCCUUAUGUUUUGAGGCACUUAACAAGUUGUGAUCUGAACAUAGGACUCCAAGCCUGAAAAAGUUGUUUUUAUUUCCAGCUGUCAGUAUGAUACCUUUUGUAGCUUGACAAGUCACUUAAUGAUGCAAUGCCACAGUAGAAAACCACAUUUUCGGAGCAAUUGUUUUUACACAUAUUGAACCAAUAUCUUUUUAGCACAGUGUACUUUUUAUUUGUUAGGCUACUUGUUUAUUUUCAUAUUUCAGAGCUCAAGGUAGAAAUCAUCCAAAGUUUUCACUUAUUUCCAGUUUCUCUCUCUGGGUCAACAGCAGCCUUCUGUAGUCCAGUGUCUUGUAAACCCCACAAGAGAUUAGGGGUAGAGAAGAAGACAGCUUUUUACAAUAUCAAAGUUCAUUAUGUCUGUUCUCUUGUUCUUGUUGCUUUCACUUUUUCAAAGAAAUGGAUUUUGAGGGGGCUAAAUUCGCGUUUGGUCUUACUUUCCUCUUUCACUUUUCCUGUAGUUGAACACAGUAUUAUUUUCACUCUCUCAUUUAACUCAUUAGGACAUUUUCAUGAAUUAAUGUUGAUAAAUCACUUUGAAGAGAAUUUUUUUAUGGUUAAAUCUCAGUGCUAUAAUUUUUUAAAUGACAAUUUAUUUGUCUGUUUGUUACCCAUGGUAAGUACAUUGAUCCGUUCUCUCUAAUGCAUGAAGAGUCAGAUUUCCUCAAAUUUGUGUCUGACAUUGUGAUAUACUGGAGUCACUAUGCUUUUUUGAGAAUACAACUCCUAAUUCCCUUGUGCCACAAAUUCUCCAGUGUACCAAACAUCUGUAGCUCUUUCUGGCUUCCACAGUUGUGAGUCACUGCAGCUCUCACAACUGUAGGCAUAUCUUAAAACCAUUCUUUCUACUAAACCAGAGUGAAUAUUUAAAAAACAGACUUCUUCAAAAUGGUUCAAAUCAUCUCAUAUAUAUGAAGGCACCACGGGCAUCACUUUAUUACCCAUCACUUUAUUACCCAUUAUUCUAUGGUCAUUUAUGCCCAGGCUGAGUAUAAAUGCUACAAUUUGGGCCCAAUUACUGUCUUAAAUCAAAAUUACAGUCACUUUGUGCAUAAUACAGGACAAUGGGGAAUGGAGGACAUAAUAUGACUACACAGAGGCUUCAGCAGCAAAGCUGACUUCAACAGAUUACCUUUUCUAAAUGCUCUGCAACCAGGUCAGCUAAAGCACUGCAAUACAGCAUCAUUUAAAACUAUAAUGCACACUUAAAAUUCUCAUUUGAUAGAGUUCUUUGUUUUAAAAACAAAGCCAUGUCUCACCACUGAAAAAAGCUUUACUUUCAUUAAAUCAAUGCCUUUUUAUAAGCUCUGUGUUGAGUGUGCAGACCUUUCAUGUCAAUUCAACCAGACUUUAUUGUCUGAUGGUCUUCUGUUAUCCUUAGAUUCUAUUAGAUCAAGCAGCAGAAACAUCUUCAGUGAAAAGAUUCAAAUGAUACGCUGAGUUUUGGGGACAAACCCACAAAAAUUUGUGGGUUCCGCAAAUACAGAGUGGAAUAAUAGUGUGCUUAUGUAAACAAGUAAAAUUUGGCUUUUAAAUCUGCACUGACCAUCUGAGAGUGUUAGAGGUAACAAUGAAGUCAAACACCUACUCCGUGAUCAAAGCCUUAGAAGUACAAUACCUGUUAUUGUUAUACAAAUAUGAUAACUAUAAUGACCAUCAAAAACCUAUUCUGGAUGUUUUAUAUGAGUCCAAUAGUUAAGUAAUAAAAAAACUGCCCCUAUAUUUUACUUCCAAACUGUAAGCAAAAUCAGAAGUGGUCUAUUUUGUUAAAUGUCUGCGUUUGCAAGAAAUUCAUGAGUCUGAGGAGGAGGAGAGAGGAAGAAAGGAAAAAAAAAAAGGAGCUUGCAAGAAUUCCUCAAUUUUCAAACUUGAUAUCUCAUCCUUGCUCUGAGUUACAUCUUUACCCACAAACAUAGUCUAAACUUAAUCUGCACACAGUCGCCCUAGCAUAUUUUUGAUUUUAGGAAAUAACUUUCUGGUAAUGCAAAAAAUAUUAAUAGAUUCAUCUAUGUAUUUUUAAGAGAUAAAAAGGGUCAAAAAGGAAAGUUUGUGUUUCCAAAAAACUGCCAAAUAUUAAGUCAUUCUGUAAAAUGUGCCUAUUAACCAGCCUUCCAAAAAAAUCAACAAGUUCUUUAUGUACAGCCAAAAAUGUUGUUUUGUUGAUGACUGUUUCUGAAUUUAGAAAAGAAAGCAGUUUAGUUUAAAUAGUUGCUGAAGUAUGUUGGCUUGCAAGUGACACCUAGUUUGUUGUGAUGACUGGAGUACAGUAAACUGUCUGGAAUCUGAGGAGCAAAGCAUGCUACAAACAAUCCAGCAGCCCACAUCUGUUGCUUUUUAUCAAUAAGCCUAUUUAAUAUCAAUUACAUUGGUUUUUUUUUUAAAAAAAGAAAAACUAAAACAGGCUAUCCCCUGCUAAUAUAAAGUGCUCUAUUAUCUAGGCCAUUUCUCUCUCCAGCCAUCUGUUUUGAAUUGGAUACAUGCACUGAACUCAAAUUUUAUGUUCACAAGAGAAGUCUGCCAGUCUCUCCUACAGAAUUUCUGAGAAGUCCUAAACUCUACCUUGUUCUCAACAGCCAAAAAGAACUGUGAUGCCUUCAACCCUCCUUGUAGCAGGAAAACUUAUCAACAAACACUUCAUACCAUUUUGGGGAUGAGGAUGCCUUCCAAAAAAAGCGUAGUGAAUUUUUUUGUUUGUUUGUUUCUUUUCACCAUUCUUGCCUUUGGAGCAUUAAGUGUCCGCAUUAUAAUAUAUGUCUCAUUAGAAACAUUGUGUGUAGCAGUCUUGCAGAGAGGGAUUCCUAACAUUUUCUGGGAAUCUGUGACCUUACUAUUAUCAGAAAGCAUCAAAAGCCAUUAUCUAAUGGACACAAAGUAGUUUUCUGAAACAGAUUUCUGAAAACGUAAUUUUUCUUUUUCCUUAUGCUGCUACAAGAUAGAACAAAGGUCACUGUAUGUAUAUUAAUAACAUAUGACACCGUGCUUACUAUUCCUUUUACAGGAUGAUGUCCUAAUAAUACGACCUCCAUGUUAAAUUGGUUUCUUCUUUGAUCAAACAAAUUACUAUAAACUAUGUAAUUCCCCCCAUUUUAAAGAAAAAAUGAGCUCAGCAGAUCAUUUCUUUAACAUAGAAUAUAUGUUAUAGAAUAUAUAGAAUAUAGCUUUCUUCAUUUGACAAGUUUCUUCAUAUGCUGCGUAUUAGUAUAGUAUCAUACCCAUGAAUAAGCACAUUUUAAUAAUGCUUCUGAUGGUCAUAAUUGGCCCAAUGUCUGCCACUUUUUCUCCCCACUGUAUAAGUUGAAGAGCCUAUAUUUUGGAGUCUUGAAAGGAAGUGGAAAUUCAUGCCAUUUUGCAUAGUGCUACCAAAACAAUGCAGUCUAAGCUCUACUGAGCUGGGUCAGCUGAGUCAGAAAAGGAGGAUACCAGUCAUUUCUAUGGUACUCAGCGUGGGCCUUAUGUGGGCACAAGAAUGCAAUAUAAAUGGCAUCUCCAUGAUCAGGGCCCAAUUCUGUAUCUCUUUCCUACAAGAUGCAUUCUUUUAUGUAUUCUUGCUUCUUGGAUUAGGACCUUAGGCAAAACUGAAACAUGAUCUGAUUGGUUGGUUGUAAAUGAAAAAACUUCAGCUCUUGGAAAUUAGAAAACGGACCACCAGUUUUUCAUAUCUUUCCCUAACAAAGACAGUGGAAAGGGCAUAUGAUUGAAGAAGCUGUCAGAUAUUUAAUUAAUAAAGACAGAAACAGAAGAGUAGAGAUGUGGGAGAUGGGAGGAAAGAAGGAAAAGAACGAACAGACAACUGGAGGAGGCAGAGAGUAGGAAGAAUGUUACAGAAAACUGGGCAAUGAAGUAUAGAGCCAGGGAAAGAAGUCUGAAGGAACAGAAUUGGUGUGGAAGAGUGGGAAGAGUAAGAAAGAAUGCUUAGGUAAAAUACAAAAGAAGAAAGUCAGGACAUUAUAACACCAGGCUAGAAAGAAGGGAUGCAUGCUUUUUGCCUGGGAAGUGCACAGUGUACUCUGGACAGUGCCGCAUGUGAAUUUAUUAACUAGUGUCUUUGGUUGGACUGAAGAACUACCUCACUGUAAACAGGUGACGACAUUUCUUACUGCCAAGGUUUAAAGCAAAAAACCUGAACCUAUUUGGUUACUGCCAGUGAUCCCUUAUCAUGGCAUGUUGCAUAUCUUUCCCUCAACCUCUAUCAUUUCUGUGCUUAAACCUAAUUCCAUAUAGCAAGAGUCAGCAGGUCUGCAUAUCCUCCCUGAGCCUUGUGGAGAUUCAGGUAAGAAAGGGUACUGCUUAACAGGUUUUGCAGGAUGAGAGCCAAUGUAUUUGUAUAAAGCCUAUCAAAUGGAUUUCUAAAUUUAUUUAAUCAUACUAGAUAUUUUUACAAUGAGUAUGUUCAGGCACACCAGUGUUUUGCUGCUGUUUGAGGGGUUUUUGUCUUUUUUUUCCCCUAGAAUUACAUCCUGAUCCUAAAAUCAGUUCAACACAUAUGCACAGAAGAGGGAGGAGGGAAAAUAAUAGCUACUAGUUACUUAAAGACCAAAAAAGAAAAAAAAAAGAAAAAAAGAAAAGAAAAAGGCAAAUCAAAUGUUGGAAUACCACCAAACUGUUCAUUGCUGCUGCCACUCCUCUUGAUGGUCACGCUCACUCACUGCAUUUCCUUCCUCAAUGAGCAGUUUAAUUUGCAUAUUUGUACAGCACCUAGCACAACAGGGCCCUAACAUAGCCUAAGCCUCCAAUGACAGUUGAAUGACAUAACGAAAAAAGAAUCAUUAUUUUAGCUGCUGCAACAGACUGUAACAGCUUGUUUAUUUAUCUUGUAUAUAAGCUGGUUACUGGGUUAUUGGAAUAUGAUGUGAUCAGACUACACUGAUAUGCACUCCAUGCAUAUUUCCCUUCAAUUUAAGGGCAGGCUGGAUGGGACCUCUGGAGUAACUCCAGUAACUCUGAGGCAAUUCAGUGACUUCCAGUACGCACACUGGAAGACUGCUUGGUGAAGGGGUCAGAGCUACAAAGAUGCUAUUACUAAACACACCUAGCUCAGAAGACUGACUACAUAGCUUCUGCAGAUGCCUGAGAGGAGUAAGUUAAACAUUCUGUGGGCAGGAAGAUUUAGAUAAGAAAGAUGCGUACAAUCCUGCUUUGGUUUUAAAACCCUUUUCUCUUUUGAUGCUUUGUUCCUACUGUUGGGAUAAAACAGUAUUUUGAUUUAAGGAAACAUUCCAAAGCCUUCAUGUAGCGCAAGUAGUGAUCUAUCUGUACUGAAUUCAGUUAGGCCUGCUGGGUGCUGUAGAUUGAGAGCAUCAUGGGAUUUCUCAUCAAGAGAAGGGAACACGGAUAUGGGAAUGAAGUUAGCAAGGCUGGAGAAGAGAACAAAUGUGCCACUAACCUUGUAAUGGUGACAUGCGUGCUCAAGGUUGCUUCUAAGGUUAGAAGUGUUAAAAUAGUCCCAUUAAUUUAAGUCACUGGACUGUCAUGUCAUGAGAGUAGUACAACAUCAAAGACAAGAAACUUUUCCAGAUAAGCUCUCAAGAGGAAUUCUUAGCUGCCAGAAAGCAGGACGUACUUAGGAACAUGCAGACCUCAUCAAAACACUCCACUCGACCUAGAGACCAGAAAGGAUCUGCAAAGAAGCUAUGUCCAAUAGUGCUUCAAGUCAGAGACAUUUCUAAGACAUGCUUUGACAGCAGACACUUAAAAUGAUACAGAAAUAGAUCAGCUUUAUUUGAGGAAGGCUGAGAACUGCAAAGAAUCUUCUCAAGGACUGUCAGCUGGAGCCAAAAGGUACUACAAAAAGAGAGGUGAAAUAUUCUCUAAUUUUAUUUACAUUUAUACUCUUUAUACUUUUUUUCUGCUUUUUGCAGGGAAAGGGGUGUAUAGCUCCUAAUUUCUUUCUAUUAAUUGUAUUCUCUAUUGUUCCAUUCAUUCAUUUCUUAACCCUCUCUUUCCUCUGCUUCUUGUGUUUCUCUCCCUCCACACAUUUCCCUUAAGGGGUUUUUGUUCUUUUCUAUCCUUGUCUCUUGUCUGGGUAGCCUUCUCAUUUCCCUUAUUUCUGCUUUGUUUCCUUAAGAUUUCAUCUGUUCUUUUGCCCUUUCUCUUUCCACUUUUGACUCUACAGAAAGCCAGAUGUUCCUUGCUGACUUCUGAAACUACCUCUGCAUAUUUUUUUCUCAGGAAAUGUACUCUUGAAUGAAGCCUUUAACCUAAAGCUUAAGACAAAAUUGAUUGGUUUCUGUCUUACAUAAUAACAAAAGACCAUAAAUAGUGGACUGAACACAGGAACAGUAUUCACCAGGGAAGGGUAGUUAGAACUAACCCAACCUCUUUGACUUCCUCAGAAACACAGAAUUGCAAACUUCCAGGAACAUUACUGAAACAAAAGAGAUAGAGUCUAAAAUCCGUUGCUUCAGUGUUUGCAUUUCAGAGACAAGACUCUUGCUGAAAUCAGUCUCAUCUUUGGGAAAUGCUAAUGCAAAACCUUAUACUGGCUUAAACUGGUAUAUUCUGGCUGGAUAGAACUAAUAUGCUGGUGUUGUAAGAAAUCUCAUUGUUUUAGCAAAAACUUUAAAAGAAGAAAAAAAAUGACCUUUUUGUGCAAUUAACGCAUCACUUUUCCAAGGAAUUUAUUAGGCUGACUUCCAUCCCUUGUAAGAAAACUAGCAAAAGAGCUCUCAAGAUGGAAGAUUAUUUUUCAUUAGCUUUCAUUCCUCUCAUAUUUGAGGCUAUUGAUUACUUUUUUAAUAAAAAAAGAACACAGGCUUAUCCUCUUCCUGAAAGCAAUAUUGCACACAGCCAUGUCUGAAGCUUAACGCCAUCCUGCUUCCUUUACUUAGUGAACCAAUGUCCUGAAGACAGGCAGAGGCUUGUUAUAUCAGGAUCUGUGAUUCAGUUUAGAUUUCAUUCACAAUAGCCAUUAGACUGACCCCAAGGCUUGAUACGUAUUUGCAUGUUUUUAUUCUUUAGGGAAAGCAGGAGAGAAAAUUGAGUAUACUGGGAGGAGGCAGGUGAUGUAAAUCUCUGGUCUUUCGUGUCUCAGAUGAGAAAUAGAUUAGAUGAGCGAUGACAGUAGUGCAGCUAAAUGGACAAUACUUAAAUAAAGUCCAUUGACAUUAUUAUAGCCUGUAUAUCUUACACACUUAUUUACCAUGAGACAUUCAGAUAUUACUGUUAGGUAUUGUAAGAAGAGCCUAAGAAAUUGCUUGGUCUCGUGCAACUAGCAGGUUGCUUUUGCAGUUUGUUGCCCAACUAAGCAUCUAAGCGUGUAUUAAGCUUUAUCAGAAGAGGCUGCCUUCCAUUUCCUGCUAAGAAAACUCAUGCUCUCAAAAUGGAAGAACAUUUUCAUGCGCUUUCAUUACUCUGCACAUGCAGACUAUAGCAAUACUGCUCUUCAGACAGAAACUGAUGUAUUCUGUGUAUUCUGCAUUAAAAAAAUAUCACAUUUGGUGGUUCUCCAUCUUUUUGGGCCAGUGGAUCACUGUGGAGUGGAGUCACAGGAAACCGUGUUCUUGAUUUUUAUCAUAUUAAUUUACAGGUGUGGCAUAACUGCAGCCUGCUUACCAUGGCCUCCACAGGCCACUGCCCUAAAAUUGUAAAACUUUCCUGGAUAGAGUGUGUUUGCAAAAGAGUAUACAAGUUGUGUUUUUUUGAGGUUAAAAACAAAACAUUUGACUGGAGGAAGGGGCCAAUCCUUGGAAAACAGAAUUUGUUACUAAGUAACUGAAAAGUAAAAACCUGUAAUUGUU